GUGGGGAAUAUUGGACAAUGGGCGAAAGCCUGAUCCAGCAAUGCCGCGUGCAGGAAGAAGGCCUUCGGGUUGUAAACUGCUUUUGUACGGAACGAAACGGUCCGGGUUAAUACCCUGGGCUAAUGACGGUACCGUAAGAAUAAGCACCGGCUAACUACGUGCCAGCAGCCGCGGUAAUACGUAGGGUGCAAGCGUUAAUCGGAAUUACUGGGCGUAAAGCGUGCGCAGGCGGUUUUGUAAGACAGGCGUGAAAUCCCCGGGCUUAACCUGGGAAUUGCGCUUGUGACUGCAGUGCUGGAGUGCGGCAGAGGGGGAUGGAAUUCCGCGUGUAGCAGUGAAAUGCGUAGAUAUGCGGAGGAACACCGAUGGCGAAGGCAAUCCCCUGGGCCUGCACUGACGCUCAUGCACGAAAGCGUGGGGAGCAAACAGGAUUAGAUACCCUGGUAGUCC
rnacentral:rRNA from 1 species